AGGGUUGCCGAACAUGAUAUAAAAGGGACCUGGCACGCAUUGUAUCAUUCUCAUACUAGCCGGCAGAGAGAAGAGGCAGUGAGGAUUUCGGAGCGAGAUGAGGGCGAAGUGGAAGAAGAAGCGUAUGAGGAGGUUGAAGAGGAAGCGCAGAAAGAUGAGACAAAGGUCCAAGUAGAAAAUGGAGACGCAGGCAAUACUUGUUUUUCUGCUUACUGUUUUUGCAGUCAAGUUUAGACUUAUUUUGGGCUGACUGAUGUUUUAAAUAUUUGGAGGGCAUGUUCAUCUUGACCUUUAAUACAUUUUACUUUCAGAGUGCUUUUCUCUA